rnacentral:miRNA from 1 species
ACUCCAGCCCCACAGCCACAG